GGCCAUAGCUCAGUGGUAGAGCAUCUGCUUUGCACACAGAAGGUCCCAAGUUCAAUCCCUGACAUCUCCA